rnacentral:tRNA from 1 species
AAAGAUUUAGUUUAUAUAAAACAUAAAGUUGUCAAUUUUAAAAUAUUAAUUUAUUAAUAAUCUUUG